UACGAAGGGGGCUAGCGUUGCUCGGAAUCACUGGGCGUAAAGCGCACGUAGGCGGCUUUCUAAGUCAGGGGUGAAACUCCUGGAGCUCAACUCCAGAACUGCCUUUGAUACUGGAGAGCUUGAGUCCGGAAGAGGUGAGUGGAACUCCGAGUGUAGAGGUGAAAUUCGUAGAUAUUCGGAAGAACACCCGUGGCGAAGGCGGCUCUCUGGGACGGUACUGACGCUGAGACGCGAAAGCGUGGGGAGCGAACAGG
rnacentral:rRNA from 1 species